AACUCGUAAAGUCGAGUCACCUUGACUUCUGCGGAGAACGAACUCUCGGUUCUGAAGGAGUUGCCUUCCCUCGUGGUGACGCUCUGCGACGGAAGAUAUGAACGAGAUUAGAUCGAUCUCUCGUUUCGAACAUUCGUCGAAUUGUACGAAAAGCGCGACAAUGGCAUUUAUGUGAUCUUCUAUGUAUAGUGGCAGAUAUGUGACCUUUCAUAUUUUCGACCGAAAUCCGAUGUCAAUAAUCGGUGUGCAUCUCAACAAUCACCUCUAUGCCCGUUGUGCCAAAUGACACAAAGCAAGAUUUAUAUCAGUUUCGCACGCGAAAUGCUUGCGAAAAGCUUGCAAAUGAGAUAUAGAAGAACCCUAAUUUUGAUAUAUGCGUGCAUAUAUCUUAUAAAGCUUAUACUCGAUUGCUUUUCACUUAAGGAGUGAAUUGACAAUUCGUGGAAUAUUUAUUGAAUGCAACACUUUCAGGUCUUCCUAACGACCACGUCAAAAAAAGCGAAUAUAUGAAAGAGGAGGAGAUCGAUGAGAGAACCGAUUGUGGAUGUCGACGCUACAUUUAAAACUUUGUGCGGAUGGAUAAAAUUGUGUAGAGAAUAUGGUGUUUAGUGCUGUGUCGUGCGAAUUUCACGGCGCGACGUGAUUCUGCUCGCGAAUCUACUUAAUCACGGCCACCGAUGACGAAACUCACCUUGAAAGAAGCCGGCAGGGACAACAUCUGCUCCUCGUAGGUCUCGCCGAGCUUGAAGGUGGCUGAACCGCUCUUACCCUUGUCGGUGACUGAAACGGUCCACUGAUCGCCGUCCUGCUGGACCUCGACGACCGGCGACGACUGCAGGAACGUGUCUAUGAGGUCGUUAUUGCCCAAGCUCUUGAUGUAGUUGUCGAAGUUCUCAUCUGAUACGUGCUGGUACUUGCCGACGAUCUGCACCAUGAUGGAGAAGUUUUACGAUUAUCGUCGAGAGAGAUGAAAUUCGCCUAGAGUGUGCACCGUCGAAGAAAGACACACGGCGCGCCGUUGCGCGCCGGCUUUUAUAAGAAUAUCCGGCGACGACGACGACGGCGGUGGCAGCAGCGGCGGUUUUUGUUAAGGGAUCGUCGGCUCGUUCAUCGGCUGAAGAGAGGGAGAGAACCGUUGCCGGCUAAUCUGUGAUGAUUCCGGACAAAGUAUUCGACAGAUUACCAUCGCCAAACGGGCAGACGGACGGAUGGAUGGACGAACGGGCAGACUGACUGCCUCUUGUCGUUUUAUCAUCGCUUAUGUGUAUUUUCGCGUUCCUCAUGGUGGUGUGCGUGCUGCACCGCCAAGAGAAAAUGGGCAGGACAGCGACGGCGACGGGUGAACUGCCAUGAGGGAGAGAUGCAUUUAUUUGCGUCUAUUUACGAGCACUUAUCACGUCGGUUGCUCGCUACUUACAUCCUGCAGCAAGUCGUGAGCUUGAAGGAGGAAGACUCAUGUUUUCUUCUUCCCUUGCUUGCAAGAGACGUUCUUUUGCCGCGACUUAUCAUCGACAUCGACAUUAUACCGUCCCCAUGUCAUGUGCUCAGACACUCGAGGGAAAUUGCUUCAUGUACGAUCGCUUGUAAAUCAAAAUUCAGGGGUGUUUCACCGAAAAUGCACGACUAAAAUUGCGGCAUGAGUGUUUUUCGUCAUCCUGUAUCUCUGCUCAAUUUUUUAGACUUUUUUUAGGCAAAUGGACACGUUGCCGAAGGAUUAUUGUACAAUUCAUUCGACGUGGCGUCGAAUGUUCGUCGUAAAACGUUUGUCGAAAUAAAUCUACAAUAAUCGUUGAUA